rnacentral:rRNA from 1 species
ACUGGAGUUUGAUCCUGGCUCAGGACGAACGCUGGCGGCAUGCUUUACACAUGCAAGUCGAACGGUAGAGGGGGCAACCCCUUGAGAGUGGCGAACGGGUGAGUAAUAUAUCGGAACGUGCCCAGUCGUGGGGGAUAACGUAGCGAAAGUUACGCUAAUACCGCAUACGAUCUAAGGAUGAAAGCGGGGGAUCGCAAGACCUCGCGCGAUUGGAGCGGCCGAUAUCAGAUUAGGUAGUUGGUGGGGUAAAGGCUCACCAAGCCAACGAUCUGUAGCUGGUCUGAGAGGACGACCAGCCACACUGGAACUGAGACACGGUCCAGACUCCGUACGGGAGCAGCAGUAGG